AGUCUAUAUUAUUCUUCCGAACUUGUGACUCAAAUUUAAUUUCCUUCACAAAUUUUUUUUUACUAUAUAUAUAUAUAUUUUUUGACAAAAAUGACUUAUAACCUUACAAAUAAGUAUCUGUUCUACGAAACUCUCGAGGACGACAGAGGAUAAACUCUUUAUCCAACCGUGCUCAAACUUUACUAUAUUUAAUUUAACUUGUUUCACUCGACAGUGCUCUCAAAAAACUUGGAAGUAUGCCGGGUUCUUUUAUCCAGCAGAAAAACAUGCCAUAUAUAUUAUCCGGAGGUUUAGCAAGAGUCUUCUUUGCGUCAUCUCCUCCCCUUCUUUUUGCGCGUGUUUCUAGGAGAUGAAAAUUCCCAUCAGCGAGUCUCCGAUCUUACUCCGGCCGGUUGGUAAAACGCCACUCUUCUUAAUGUGUUUAUUCUUUUAUUGUGUGUUUACAUAUGCAUGCGGAUUUUUGUUUGAGAGAGAGAGAGAGAGGGGGACAGAGAGAGAGAGAUUUUGUAGUUUGAUGUGUAUAAAUAUCAAAUGGUAAGUUAGGGUUAACUUUUUAGUAUGGCCUAAUCCCUUUUAACAUCGGGAUCCAUAUUUUAGUAGAAUAUCUACGAGAUCUAUGUGGAUUGUGGCCUAAUUAACUCAUUAAGAAGUAGAUUUGUUUGUGUAAGAUGAACUGUUGAUUUAUAUCCUUAUAGUGUGUAUGUGUACAUGUUUCAUUGAGUUGCCUGCUUCGUGGACAUUUUUUUAAUUGCUUGUCAUGGGCCUACAUGUAUCUGUAUCUUAAAUAACACUUGGUAGAUUUUCAAUUCACAACUAUUUCAUUGUACAUCCCUUAUUUUAAAUUUGUGAUUUUUGUUCAACACUUCAUUAUUAGCACAGAUUGUAGCCCGACACAUGUUGCGCACAAAUAAUGGUUUACUAAAUUACCGAUAUGGGGUUUGUGUUACUUGUUUGUGCAGAGACUUUGAUAACGAUUCUUUAUUUACCUUUUAUAAUACUACCAACUCUCUGUCCUAAAAGAAAUUCGCAAUCUAGACUUGACAGAUUUUAUGAGCAUGUUUUGAUUGGUUUUUAGUAAGCAGUAUGUUCCUUAGGCAUAAAUUGAAAGAUGGUUGUGUGGUUGAAUGGCCGAUCAGGGUUUUUACUAAGCAUUAUGUCCCAUUGUGUGUAGAUAAGAAAACGAUCUUGAAAGAUGGUUGUAUGGUUGAAUGACUCAUUAGGUGUGUGAUGAGGGUGUGAAUGAGAAGAAGCUUUUGACUUUGGCUAUUUAAACCAGAUUAAAAAAGAUGGUUGUAUGGUCGAAUGACCCAUCCGGUGUUUGAUGGACUAGUGAAGAACCGACUUGUUAUCCUUCCACCGACAGGAGAGGGAAGUGUUCGCUGCUCUGUGAAGCCAGCCUAGCGCAAUGCCCUCCUCUUUAGGGGAAAUGAACUCCUGGCUUUCGUCCAAAGCCCAUGACCCUGCUCCCUACUUGGAAUGGGCAGGUCAGUGUAUAACCCCAUGCUAGCCCAACCUUCUGGCCCAAUCCAACCUCCAACCAUCUUAUGGCUCCCACUUGGGUUACAGGCCUGUGCUACCAGACCCAGCUGAAAGUGUGACCAUCUCCCUGGGGCUGUAAACAAACACAGGCUCCAUUCCCUGGACAAUGUGGUGGAGGCAGGUGACCAAGUCUGGUUGAUGAAACAUGACUGCAUGACCAGAGCGUGAUUAACAGCCAGUUUGGUCAGUUGACCAUUCAAGUAGUAGAGGAUCGUUCUCAGCUGGAGUCCCUGGCUGGGGUGGUCGUUGUCUGACAGACUCCUAUAACUUUUUUCUUGUCUCCUGUCAUAUGCCGCAGUCAUGGACCGACCUUGUUUUUCCAUGCCCCUGCAAUAUUCAGCAGCCAUGUGGACUCACCCUGUACUCUUUAAGUCUCCGUUGAAUCGCCUGUAAUAUGCAGCUGCCGGAUUGACCCUGUUUUUUUGGUCUCCUGUUAUAUGCAGAAGCCAUAUGCACCCACACUUUUCAUUUCAGGUUUCUGGUAUUAUACAACCCUGAUAUAGUCUACCGAGCUUGGGUUUGUCAACCAUUUACUCCCUCUCAUCACUCUCCUCUUUUUAUCGGCAAAUAUACUGCAGCUAUCUAAGCCCACCCUCUUCUUUUUAAGUCUAUGGUAAACUAACCCUAUUGUUUAAGUCUCCUGUAAUAUGCUGCAGUCUGAACGAACGUAUUUUUUUUGGUCUCCUGUAAUAUGCAGCAGCCAUAUGGACCCACCUUUUCUUUCCAAGUCUCCAGUAAGAUGCAUCACUCAUCUAGUGUACCGAGAGUGGGUCUGUCAACCUUGUACUUUCCCUUAUUGCUGGCCUCUUUUAGUCAGUAAAUGAUUUGCAUUUUUGUUUAAAUUUCUUAGUGUCUGUCCCCUAAUCUGUUUUCCUUAUUUUUGUCCUCUUUUUUAGUCUCCUGGAAGCAGACUUUGUCAACUGUAUAUUGCUUUCCUUUGGGUAAAAUUAAAAAGGCUAAUUGAAGAUAGUUUAAUUUGUUUGCAGUUAUCAGAUAGACCAACUUUACUCCUUUUUGGUUUCGUGAUUAUAUGUAAAUACUAUCUUAUGGAAGGCAGGAACGUAUCUUAGUAUAUUGAAAGGGGGAAGGGGAGCAAGGGGAGGGAUGUUUUGUAGUGUCCUGUGUAUAAACAUUUAAUCAUUUUCCCACACGUUUGAUGGGUGUGAAUCAGAAAAAGCUCGUGACUUGGCUAUUUAAACCAGAUUUAAAAAGAUGGUUGUAUGGUUGAAUGACCCAUCCGGUGUUUGAUGGACUAGUGAAGAACCGACUUGUUAUCCUUCCACCGACAGGAGAGGGAAGUGUUCGCUGCUCUGUGAAGCCAGCCUAGCGCAAUGCCCUCCUCUUUAGGGGAAAUGAACUCCUGGCUUUCGCCCAAAGCCCAUGACCCUGCUCCCUACUUGGAAUGGGCAGGCCAGUGUAUAACCCCAUGCUAGCCCAACCUUCUGGCCCAAUCCAACCUCCAACCAUCUUAUGGCUCCCACUUGGGUUACAGGCCUGCGCUACCAGACCCAGCUGAAAGUGUGACCAUCUCCCUGGGGUUCUAAACAAAUACUGGCUCCAUUCCCUGGACAAUGUGGUGGAAACUUUGCUUUCUUUUAUGCUCUUUCUUUUAUAGUGACGUCCUUUUUCUUGUGACACAUAACUUAAUUAUUUAUAUGAAUUUAUCAUAUAAGUAGCUGAGAUUGUCGACUUCUUACUAUUAUUAAAACCGUUAAUUUGGUCCUGGCUUUUGAGUUGAUCAGGGCUGUAUAUUACUCAAAAUCCACACUGCAUUUACCUACAUCAGGUCAAUAAUGUUUUACCAGGAUAUUAUUUGCAGAAUUUGACAUCUUGUAUAUACUGCAACCAUGUGGACUAACCCUGUACUUUUUAAGUCUCUGUUGAAUCGUCGGUAAUAUGCAGCAGCCAAUAUGCACCCAGAAUCGCCAGUAAUAUGCAGCAGCCAUAUGCACCCACCCUGGCUGGGGUGGUCCUGCAGUUGCCCGAGUCCCUGGCUGGGGUGAUCUUGCAGUUGCCUGACAGACUCCUAUAUCUUCUUUUUUUGUUUGUUUCCUGUCAUAUGCCGCAGUCAAUAGUCAUAGACCGACAUUGUUUUCUAGUCCCCUGUAAUAUACAUAUACUGCAGCCAUGUGAACUCACCCUGUACUUUUUAAGUCUCCUUUGAAUUGCCGUUAAUAUGCAGCAGCCAUAUGCACCCACCCUUCUCUUUUCAGGUCUCUUGUAAUAUACAACCCCCAUAUAGUCUACCAAGCUUGGGUCAUAGAAGGCAAUUUGAUUUGUCUAAAAGAAAUUGGAUCUCGGUUUGUGCUUGCAUAAGAAUGCAUGUGUAUGUGUCUAUUUAAUCCUUUGGCUUAUGAUCGGCAACAGGGGCUUAUCUUCUUAAUAAUACAGGUCCUGUACUUUAGCAAAUUUUUGUUCGCACUGUUUGCAUCUAUUGCUCCUAAUGUGGUUGAAAAGUUUCUUUCAAAGUUCUAAGAUAUAUAUGAAUAAAUUGUUAAGCUUGAGAGUCUUAGUGAUUAUGUGCAUAAUAUAUCGUAAUGCAGUAAUGCCUCUUAUCAUGCAGUUCUCGAGCACCCUUACUAAUCCAUGUGUUCUUUUUUGAUGACUUGGUGUCUUCUGUAAAUGUCAAAACCUUAGCCUUGAUGCUUAAGAUUUUGUUUACUUAAGAUUUGGUUCAUCCGAAUUUAUUUUGAUUUUGAAUUUUGUGGUUUUCUACGUGAGAAAGUGUACGGGUAUAUAUUUGAAAAAUAAAUAAAUAUGUCAUAUUAUAUAAUACUUCAGUUACUAGUCUAAUGUUCAAAUUUUCAAUUUUUAUAGCUUUGCAAUUAUUUAAUUAUUUCAAUUUUUUAAGAUGAUUUUUUUUAGCGAUCAUGUGUGUAUUGCUUCCUACUAUAUUGGUCUUGAGCAACUAAUUAAAGUUUCUUUCAUGAUGACCGUAUUAGCCAUCCUCAUGAUUUUAUUCUCAUGGAACUGACUAUCCAUUUUUAGCCUUCCACCUUCUGAAAGUUGGGAAGAAGAGAAAUAAAAGAAGCGAAGGAGUGCGUAUUGGCUGGUUCCAGGAAGCAUGUAAUGGCAUUACUCUGAAAUGCUGGUUUCUUGGUCAAGUGAAGCAUGAGAAGGAGCUGCGCGAACGCAAUCCUCUAUCACAGAAUUCUAUGAUGUAGGCUCCUCCCUCAGGUGAGCACUCCUCGUAAGUGCAAUGGAGGCCACUAACCUAACCAUUAGCAUUCAUGAUCUCCCAUUCACCCCAUAGAAGCUAGUAUGAUUCUAGGUAGGCUGUACGACCCUAUUGGUGAAAAUUCUUCUUACUUCGGCUUUGUCUCCCUGCAAAUUUGUUGAAGAUGGUACUUUUUGGUUGAGCAGAGUUUCUUGGUAUAUAACAGUGAUAAACUUGUUAAUUUCUAAGUUGCGAAGGGUGAUGAAUACAUGUCCAGUGGACAGGAAAAACUUACAUCACCAUGGGAACCUUUUGGUUCAUUACAAGACCAGCUUGAGCAUUAUGAUUAACUGCAAUAUUUGGUUCAUUCAUCCCCCUUCAAGACCCUACCGUUUUGCAAAUAAUAUUGGUUCGUUAACCCUUUAGGUCCCUACUCAUGAUAAAACAAUGAUAUUUGCUGAUUAUCUCUUUGUUUUGUCAAGCAGUAGUUCAACACUGAGGCGCGUGAAGACCCCAAUAGCAAGCUAUUGAGAUGCUUCAGAAUAUAUUUAUGCUUUCAAGAAGUUAGUUAAUGCAGAUGCUGUCUAGUCAGUAUAGCAGUCCCAAUACAAAGUAUGUUCAUUUGACCUUAAUGAUGCACAUAAUAUUCUGGGUAUAGUUCCUAGCUGAAGUUGGGAUUUUAUCAUUUUCAGCUAUUAAUGUUAUAUCUACAGUUCAAAUUAUAUAGAUGCUUCCGAAAAUAUCUAUGCUUCCAAGAAGUUAGUUGACGCAAACGCUGUCUAGUCAGUAUAGCAGUCUGAACAGUUUCUAAGAAGCAUGAUAAAAAGGAAUUUUAGGAUUUGAGUGUUGUAUUACUUCAUAUUAUCAAGAUAAUGAAAUCACUAGGUCCUGUUGCAUGCUUAGUUUGGUCCUGGACCUUACCUUGUCUUUCUCUAAAUUUAAAAUUAUAUUUAAAUAGCGGCAAACACAGCCUGGUGACUAGUUCCAUAUUGAAAGGAUAUAUUGUAUCCAGCUUAUGACCUUACUUGAACAAGAUCUUUUCUAUGGGCUCAUAACUCUGUAUCUUUGAUUUACAAGGAGGCAGGUGACCAGCUCUGGUGGAUGAAAUGCGAGUACAUAACCAGAUCAGUUGGUCAUUCAAGCAGUAGAGUAACGUCUCCAGAUGGAGUCCUGGCUGGGGUGGUCUGUCAGUUCUCUGACAUACUCCUAUGCCUUCUUCUACUAUCCAGUCAUAACUGACCCUGUUUUUUAAUUCAUGAUCACCCUUUGAAGUUUGAACCUAUCCAGGUGUGUAUGUUGCAUGUCCAGUUGCGGAACUUUGAUAGCAAAUGGCCUAAAGGAGAGAGGUCUUCCCUUGGACGUAACUCCACAACCCUCUACUUCCAUUUCCAAGCCUCGUGUUCAGAUUCAAACAACUGCAUGUUCGAGCUGUGAUUUCAUUACAGUGGGAUGUUUUAUAAAUUCAAGGUCACUUUUUUGCUCCUCAUGUUUUCUCCAAAGUUUGUUCAAUUCUCCGUAUAUGAUACUAAUCCUUUUGCUUUCCCCCCUUUCUGGAACUGUGUUAUGAUCUAUUCAGAGUAUAACUGACAUCAUUGUUUGUGGAUAUGCCACAUCUUGGAAGUGAGUUUUUUUUUUAUAGCGAAAAUGAUAUACAAAUCAAGUUAUUACUGAUGUAUAUGUAAAAAUGCUUUUCCGGAAGGGGUGCGAGCAUCUCAGCAGAGAAGAUAUACACAAAUCAAGUUACUAGUGGAGGCAUAAUUCGAUUUUUCGUUUAACUAUAGAUAAUAUCAUAAUAUAAAAGUAUGCAGAAGCAAACCAAAUUUUUUCA